rnacentral:rRNA from 1 species
GACAGAGGGUGCAAACGUUGUUCGGAUUUACUGGGCGUAAAGGGUGCGUAGGCGGCGCGGUAAGUCGGGUGUGAAAUCUCGGAGCUUAACUCCGAAACUGCAUUCGAUACUGCCGUGCUUGAGGACUGGAGAGGAGACUGGAAUUUACGGUGUAGCGGUGAAAUGCGUAGAUAUCGUAAGGAAGACCAGUGGCGAAGGCGGGUCUCUGGACAGUUCCUGACGCUGAGGCACGAAGGUCAGGGGAGCAAACGGG